rnacentral:rRNA from 1 species
AGUGAACGCUGGCGGUAGGCCUAACACAUGCAAGUCGAACGGCAGCACAGUAAGAGCUUGCUCUUACGGGUGGCGAGUGGCGGACGGGGGAGGAAUACAUCGGAAUCUACUUUUUCGUGGGGGAUAACGUAGGGAAACUUACGCUAAUACCGCAUACGACCUACGGGUGAAAGCAGGGGAUCUUCGGACCUUGCGCGAUUGAAUGAGACGAUGUCGGAUUAGCUAGUUGGCGGGGUAAAGGCCCACCAAGGCGACGAUCCGUAGCUGGUCUGAGAGGAUGAUCAGCCACACUGGAACUGAGACACGGUCCAGACUCCUACGGGAGGCAGCAGUGGGGAAUAUUGGACAAUGGGCGCAAGCCUGAUCCAGCCAUACCGCGUGGGUGAAGAAGGCCUUCGGGUUGUAAAGCCCUUUUGUUGGGAAAGAAAAGCAGCAGGUUAAUACCCCGCUGUUCUGACGGUACCCAAAGAAUAAGCACCGGCUAACUUCGUG